rnacentral:rRNA from 1 species
CCCUUAGAUGUUCUGGGCCGCACGCGUGCUACACUGAGUGGAUCAGCGGGUCAGGUUGCGCGAAAGUGUUUCCUAAUCUUGAAAUCCGCUCGUGAUGGGGAUUGACGGUUGCAAUUUUCUGUCAUGAACGAGGAAUACCUUGUAAGCGCGGGUCAUCAUCCCGCGCUGAAUACGUCCCUGCCCUUUGUACACACCGCCCGUCGCUCCUACCGAUUGAGUGGUCCGGUGAGGCUUUGGGAUCUGGAUGGAAAGAGCGUUUCGCUGUUUCUGCCCGGAAAACUCAGUCGCACCUUAUCAUUUAGAGGAAGGAGAAGUCGUAACA